UACGUAGGGUGCGAGCGUUGUCCGGAUUUAUUGGGCGUAAGAGCUCGUAGGCGGUUCGUCGCGUCGGCUGUGAAAACCCGGAGCUCAACUCCGGGCCUGCAGUCGAUACGGGCGGACUUGAGUUCGGCAGGGGAGACUGGAAUUCCUGGUGUAGCGGUGAAAUGCGCAGAUAUCAGGAGGAACACCGGUGGCGAAGGCGGGUCUCUGGGCCGAUACUGACGCUGAGGAGCGAAAGCGUGGGGAGCGAACAGG
rnacentral:rRNA from 1 species